GGGGAUGACAGGCUUCGACAUCGUGAUUUCUAGUAAUCGACAUGUCCUAUAUCAAUGCGUAAGCAUUUGGUUUGGGAUAGCUUCUGUUCGGGAUCGCAACGGUUCCCGUUACCCACAUGUUGCAAAAUUUAAUUGCAAACAAUCUUGUUAGCAAAGCCAAUUCAAUCGCAGAAGGUGUCAUGGCUCGUUUGAGUCCUGCUCUUGUGCCUGUAAUGGCCUAAGUUCGUCCUAGCACGAACACGUCUCUCCUUUUAUUCUCGCUACGAGGAAAAGGCGUCACUUAGCGAGGCAGAAGUACAUCUGGCGUACUGUACUUUUAAAUCUAUCGCCAACCCAUUUGACCAUUUCUUGUCUGCUCUCUUGUAGGUCGAAUGUAUUAGAGCAGUCAUAACAGUACUGGCACGUUUUCUACACGUUGGACCCGAGUUCGAUUCUCGGCAUCUCCACCA
rnacentral:tmRNA from 1 species